UACGUAAGGGGCAAGCGUUGUCCGGAAUCACUGGGCGUAAAGCGCACGUAGGCGGUUUAGCAAGUUGGGGGUGUAAGCUCUAGGCUUAACCUAGAAAUUGCCUCCAAAACUACUUCACUUGAGUAUUAGAGGGGAAGCUGGAAUUCACGGUGUAGCGGUGGAAAUGCGUAGAUAUCGUGGAGAACACCCGGUGGCGAAGGCGGGCUUCUGGCUAA
rnacentral:rRNA from 1 species